rnacentral:rRNA from 1 species
GAUAAACGCUGGCGGCGUGCAUAAAACAUGUAAGUCGAACGAGUGGAAGCCGCAAGGCUGAAGCGAGUGGCGGACGGCUGAGUAACGCGUAGGUGACUUGCCCGGAAGUGGGGAACAACGAUUCGAAAGAAUCGCUAAUACCGCAUACGGUUGUGCGUAUAGACACGUGCAACGAAAGCUCGCAAGGGCGCUUCUGGAGAGGCCUGCGUCCGAUUAGCUAGUUGGUGGGGUAACGGCCUACCAAGGCUCCGAUCGGUAGCUGGUCUGAGAGGACGAUCAGCCACACUGGGACUGAGACACGGCCCAGACUCCUACGGGUGGCAG